rnacentral:misc_RNA from 1 species
CGUCGCUCUGUGUCCACCUCCCCACCAGGGAUGGGGGAUGCUGGGCGGAUACUGGUCUCCCGUGCCCCUUUGCGCGCGCGGAUGGCUAAAAUAGGAUCCCUCGGCGACGCAGGUCAUGGCCAUUGGUGGUUGAUCAGUCGACUCGUGUGUGGCCGUGCUCUCCUAUGCAUCGCUUGUGAGGCCAUCCGAACGUACCCAAUGGCGCCUGUCGCUAGCAUCU